rnacentral:rRNA from 1 species
UACGGGGGGUGCGAGCGUUGUCCGGAAUCACUGGGCGUAAAGGGCGCGUAGGCGGCCUUCUAAGUCGGACGUGAAAUCCCUCGGCUUAACCGAGGAACUGCGUCCGAGACUGAAAGGCUUGAAUCCGGGAGAGGGAUGUGGAAUUCCAGGUGUAGCGGUGAAAUGCGUAGAUAUCUGGAGGAACACCGGUGGCGAAGGCGGCAUCCUGGACCGGCAUUGACGCUGAGGCGCGAAAGCUAGGGGAGCAAACGGG